GCCACAUCGAUUGCUUUCAUAUCACAGUGGAAGUCUUAUCUACUGGAUGCAUCAAGACUGAAUGUAAAGGAUCAAAGUCCGUUGUCUGACUGUAACAGUAUGAAACUACUUCACAUUGAGCUCUGCUGGAGCCAUUCAGACUCGGGGGGCAGCCGCCCACUCCCAUAAUGCUUUGUGCCAGGCGAGAUAAGAGCAGCCCCACACAGCUCCAACUGCCUGGUUCCAGACAAUGGACUUCCAACAAAGCAACACAGGUACUUGGUUUUAGGUCAAUACCAUACAAACAAUGUUCUAACUUAAGCUUGCUAAAGAAAAUCUGCACUCUACUGGAACAGGCUGUAACACGAAAUGCAUUUGCUGCUGUAAAUCUAAA